rnacentral:rRNA from 1 species
CCUACGGGGGGCAGCAGUGGGGAAUAUUGGACAAUGGGGGGAACCCUGAUCCAGCCAUGCCGCGUGUGUGAAGAAGGCCCUCGGGUUGUAAAGCACUUUCAGUGAGGAAGAACGCCUGGUGGUUAAUACCCAUCAGGAAAGACAUCACUCACAGAAGAAGCACCGGCUAACUCCGUGCCAGCAGCCGCGGUAAUACGGAGGGUGCGAGCGUUAAUCGGAAUUACUGGGCGUAAAGCGCGCGUAGGUGGCUUGAUAAGCCGGUUGUGAAAGCCCCGGGCUCAACCUGGGAACGGCAUCCGGAACUGUCAAGCUAGAGUGCAGGAGAGGAAGGUAGAAUUCCCGGUGUAGCGGUGAAAUGCGUAGAGAUCGGGAGGAAUACCAGUGGCGAAGGCGGCCUUCUGGACUGACACUGACACUGAGGUGCGAAAGCGUGGGUAGCAAACAGGACUAGAUACCCCGGUAGUC